UAUAUUUGUCUGUCUUGGCGAACAAACAAAGUUCACAUCCCAAGAACCUCGCCUUUUCGUCGAAGCAAGCAAGAAUCAGAGAUUGAAAGCAAAUCCUUCCUCUCAGAAUGUCAGAGUUACCAACCAUUUUGGACUCCUUUUGGCAUCCUCGAGUAAUCAACUUCGAUUAUCAGUGUGGUGAGUGUGGCGCAGUGAUCAGCCUGGAAGUGUUCCGGAGUGGACACACCUACAUGCACGUGGAGGAGCCACAUUUCUACCCGGAGGUUCUGGUGAACUGUGUAGGUGGCACGUUCCGAGUUCAGAGCACUCACUGUGAAAUCACUAUUCACUUCUCUACCUAUGCAGGGAAUCGAGGAGACAUAAGGGUUGAUCCUUAACUUAGUUCUUAGUUUGUAGACUGUUUUUGUUGCCAAGAUUUGCUCAGGAUUUUGAUUUGGAUUUGGCAAAACAUAUUAGUCUCUGUUCAUCUUUUGGGGUUUUCAAUUCCUUUGCCCUUUGA